CGCUGUCGUUCCACGAUGCCAGAGCACGAGAGCCGCUGUCGCCGAGUUGCGCUUUGAAAGCAAGCAACGCGGCCUCGUCGUCAGCGCUCACCAUGGCGAUCAUCAGGGCAGCGGCGAGUGACCAUAUUACGAAGCUCAUGACCACUUUCCCGGAGGAGGCGGCCAUGACCCACCAUCAAUGGCUGCUACAAGAGAGCGAUGCCGGCGCAUCGUGUUCGAAAAUCAUCGCUGCAAGGAAAAGAUAAUCCAAUGGUACUACCAUUUUCGUCUCCCUUUUGUACUUCGUUGCCAACAGGUCUGUACCAGAGUUUGGCUUCUGCUGAGUUUGAAGCCCAGUGGAGAUUGGAAGAUGGAUUCUGCAUUUCUGCAUCCCGUGUCAACAUCCGGAUAUCUGACUGACUCUGCUAAAAUGACACUUGGUCCAUUGUUUCAUCUGCUAUACUGAAUUUGUAGCGACUGUACUGAAUUUGCAGAGGCUGCAGCAGUGGCUCCCCCGCACUCCUCCGGGCCACCCUCUCUUCCUCCCAACCCAAACCCUCUCUUCCUCUGCUUCCUUCCCAUACCGCCACCAAUGGCUCCCCCGCACUUCUCCGGGCUUCCACCCUCCCCGUCCUCUCCCGCCUGAAGCCGCACCCUAGGACUCCAGCCCCGCCCCUUACCUUCCGCCACCACCAGGGCCGUCACCAAGUUCCACGUCCUAUUAGGUUUCGUCCUGUAGUGCUAAUUGCUGUUUUGAAUCUUGUUGUCUUGGAGCAGUAGCGCUCGCUAGUACUUGACGGGAAUUGAUGCAUGAUGGCUGCUCCGCAGUCAGGUAAAUUUGGCCGCUGUUACUCGUUAGAAGAACUUCUGUAUCCGCCAGUUUGUUUCUGCCGCGUGAAUCUAUGCUUUUGUGCUGCUUCCUGCCUGCUGUCAAAUUUUAUUCAGUUUCUACUGGAAACGCUCAACGAGUCAACGUUAUGGAAAUUUCUGCUUCUAUUUCGCCGUGUUUUCCUUCACAUGGACAAUGUUCUGUGCGUUGUCUGAACUUCUGUCUGCUGAUUUGCUUGGAGCAAUAAAUUCAUGUUGCCAGUAUACUUGUUCGAGAAUGAUGUUUUUUGCAUCACUGGAUCUCUGAAAUCUUUGGAACUAGAAGCCAUGUAUAUUGUCUGGUUAUUUUUUAGUGCUAUUGUGGAACACUGAGGCUUUACAUUUUA